AACGAACGCUGGCGGCAUGCCUAACACAUGCAAGUCGAACGAGCCCUUCGGGUCUUGUGGCGCACGGGUUCGUAACGCGUCGGAACCUGCCCUUAGGUUCGGAAUACCUCCCCGACAGGGGUGCUAAUACCGGAUCAUGUCUUCUGACCAAGGAUUUAUCGCGUUUGGAUGGUCCCGCGUUGAAUCAGCUAGUUGGUAGGGUAAAAGCCUACCAAGGCGACGAUCCAUAGCUGGUUAGAGAGGAUGAUCAGCCACACUGGGACUGGGACACGGCCCAGACUCCUACGGGAGGCAGCAGUGGGGGAUAGUGGACAAUGGGCGAAAGCAUGAUCCAGCAAUGACGCGAGAGUGAUGAAGGCAGUAGGGUUGUAAAGCUCUUGUACCCGGGAUGAUAAUGACAGUACCGGGAGAAUAAGCUCCGGCUAACUACGUG
rnacentral:rRNA from 1 species